GACGAACGCUGGCGGCGUGCUUAACACAUGCAAGUCGAACGGAAAGGCCCUGCUUUUGUGGGGUGCUCGAGUGGCGAACGGGUGAGUAACACGUGAGUAACCUGCCCUUGACUUUGGGAUAACUUCAGGAAACUGGGGCUAAUACCGGAUAGGAGCUCCUGCUGCAUGGUGGGGGUUGGAAAGUUUCGGCGGUUGGGGAUGGACUCGCGGCUUAUCAGCUUGUUGGUGGGGUAGUGGCUUACCAAGGCUUUGACGGGUACCCGGCCUGAGAGGGUGACCGGCCACAUUGGGACUGAGAUACGGCCCAGACUCCUACGGGAGGCAGCAGUGGGGAAUAUUGCACAAUGGGCGGAAGCCUGAUGCAGCAACGCCGCGUGCGGGAUGACGGCCUUCGGGUUGUAAACCGCUUUCGCCUGUGACGAAGCGUGAGUGACGGUAAUGGGUAAAGAAGCACCGGCUAACUACGU
rnacentral:rRNA from 1 species